GGAAGCGGAAGGGAUAAAGAAAGAGGUAGGGGAAGGGGAAGGGCAAAGUAUCCCCUGCUAAGGGAAAUAGUUUUAGGGCUGUCUAUUCUCUCUUGCUUGACUUUUGUUUUGAAAUUUUCUCCAAAAACUCUUAAUUCUGAGAACUGUAAUAAUAAAAUGAAUGACAGGGACACUUUGAAUUCAGCAGCAUCUUCAAACCACCCCCUCACGUCUCUGAAGUCAGCUGAGUAGGUGAUACAUGCACUGUGAUAGUGCAAACAAACAUCUGCUUCAGUGGGUGUGUGCUUACUCACUCCAACAUGCUCUUGAAUCUAAUUGGGAAUUUCCAGCAUAUAUUGUUCACGUGUUCUCCAAAAUAACUUUUAAGUAUAAAGUGUAUGAAUUAAUCAUCCUUUUAAUCCACCAACAGCUGUGCUAUAUCUGUUCAAUCACAAGAUAGUUAUUUCUAUCCUGGGUAUUCAGGAUGCUGAAUAAAAUGGAAUAUUUUUGUAUUUUCUUUUUUUGUCAAGAGGAAUUUCCAGCUUUAAUAAUUAAAGCUGUUGAGUUUGGUUUAGAUUGGCAGACAGCAGUGCAGAGAAGAUUUAGCAGAAAUACUGUGCCAUAGAGUGGGAAAGUGGGGCUGCUUCUGCUUUUAGCAUUUUCCAGAGCUUCAUAUGACACUGAGGUACACAAGCACAGCAGCAUGAGUGUCCUACAGUUCAGAGUCUGGAUGUGUACACCAAAUAGGAGCAGAAGUCCGUCAAGUCUCCUUGCUGCUGAUGAGGACAACUGGUUCACCAUGUGGCAUCAACUCGAAUGGGAUGCAGUUGACUGUUCUGGUUGUCUGUUAGCCUUGUUGCAUCAUGCAGCUGCCAGUUCUACUGUGAAUUGUGACAGGUCAUUUAAAACAGUUCUACAGUGCAGACUGCCAUUUGUGAGCACGACUGAGGCAGGCAUGCAUGUUGCACUUGUGAAUCAGUUGAGAGGGCUCAAGUCUGCUUGGGUUGCUUCUAUCUGUUUGUAAAUUGGGAAUUAGCACAUUCCUGCUUUAUGGAUGAAGAGAAAUAUGUUAAAAAUAUGGGAGACAGUGAACAUCCAGUAUUACCAUGGAGAAAUAUACAUUCCCAUAUAUUCCCAGCUCCACUGACUCUGACACAGGUUGGCACGUACUUACUGUUCUGCUUGGGAUGAGAGGCAAAAGUUGCACAACAGAUAUCCAGAAAUACAGAUUUCCCACUGAAGGAGAAGACACUAAUGCUGCUGGGGACCUAGCUUUGGUCCUGCUAACUUUGGACCUGCAUGCUGAGUGCUGACCUACACUGGGUGUUAUGUCAGACCCACUGCAAGAAGAAGGGAUGAGUUACCAGCUGCCAUUCAGAGGUGAUGAAGCUUCUGAACUUUCCAGCCUUUCUUCAUCUGGCAGAACAGUGUCUGCAUUGCUCUGACUGAUCUCAAGCAGAAAUGUGCCAGGAUGGAUUUGUUGCCAGUGGGAAUGUGGUGAAAGAAGCAGCACCAACUAGAGCAGAGAGCAAACCCCAGCCACUGCUCCCUUCCUGGCCCCUCCUUGCCAGGCAUCCAGUAGAGCCUUCUCACCCGCACAUGCUGCAGCAAACAGAACCAGGUGUCCUGAAUGAUGCUAAGCAGGAAGUCAAGCUCAAGCAGCAAGUCAAGCUCAAAAAUAGUAACAGAAUCAUAGAAUCAUCAAGUUUGGAAAACACCAAGAUUGUCUAGUACAACCAUCAGCCUAUCCUCACCAUGGCCACCAACCAUGUGUGGAGUAACAAAUAUAUAAUUGAAGCCAAAGUGCAAUAGCAGUGAUGAGAACUGAGAGGUGAAAAUUCCUCUGUGAUCUGAGUAGAACAGUACCAACAAAAUUGAUACAGGAAAAAGCCUGCAUGGACCCAGAGACGGUUUGACAGGAAGAGCACACUUAAAGGCAGCCUCAGGAACACAGCGAGAAGUGGAGCUGAGGGAUUUAUAUGGCAUCUGUCCAGAAAGGCAAGGAAAAUACAUUUUUGGCAGUAAGCACUGAGAAAAACUUGUGGUGAAUACAAUAAAUUGAAUUGAACAGAAAACACAUCCAGUCCCUAGCUUGACUUUGACAAAUCCCGGGCUGCCCUUAGAAUGUUGCAGAAAGUGAAUGCUGCUGAAUGUCAGGAUGGUGUAGCAUAAUUUUAUGGACACUCUGUACUGACAUUCAGCGAUGUCGGUGCUUUGCUACACAUGCUACGGACACACCCUUCCCUCGAGCCCCACUCGGACUCCCACUCAGUUCUGCUCCAUGGGUGCCCUGCCCACGCUCCACCCGCAGUGGAACUCGCAGCGGGAGCACAGGGAAGACCCUCCCGAAGCUCUCAGUCCGUGCCCACCCCACCUGCUGGAACGCCAGCCUGUAAAAAGUGCCUUGUUUUCACUCGUCUUCGUUUCGCAUGUUUUCUAUUCCUAUUCUAAAAGCCAACGAGCAGCUGGGUAGGUGUACCUGCUACACUACCGCAAGCAGCGUUAAAGCUCUGACAUUCAAACAGAUGUCCAGUUUAAAAGUUGAAUAACAGUUAAAUUCAGAGAGCAGUCCCAUUUCAGGGGGAGGACAUUUGUCACCCCGCCAGGCCGGGCAGCAAGCGGUAAUUCACGCCGCAUCUCUAUGGGAGCCGGAGGCAGGGACGCCCAUCUCUCAGUCCCGCAGUCCCGGGUCGGGAGCUCCAUUUAAACACACCUUCCAUUCUCUCGGAUCGUCAGGAGAUUCGAGCGCGGCUACUCCCGACCCCCCCGGGGCCGCCCCGCCACGGGCUCUGCGCGAACCACAGCAACGG